rnacentral:RNase_P_RNA from 1 species
UAAAGUAGGUGAGGCAGUUGCGGACUCAAUAUCUUGGGUCUGAGGAAAGUCCGGGCUCCCAAAAGACCAAGCUUGCUGGAUAACGCCCAGUGCGAGCGAUCGUGAGGAUAGUGCCACAGAAAAAUACCGCCCUGGAGAUGAGAUAUUAUUCAAGUCUCUGAGGUAAGGGUGCAAAGGUGUGGUAAGAGCGCACCAGCAGUAUCGUGAGGUACUGGCUAGGUAAACCCCGGCGGGGAGCAAGGUCGGAGGGGCAAUGGUUGGUCUUUUUCCAGCUCCGUUGUUAAGUGUACCGCUAGAGGUGUCUGGUAACAGGCGUCCCAGAUAGAUAAUUGCCCUCUUAGCUACUUUCAGUUAAGGGAACAGAACCCGGCUUACUUCCUACUUUUUCCU